CAAUAGCGUAUAUUAAAGUUGUUGCAGUUAAAAAGCUCGUAGUUGAACUUCGGAACCGGUCGAUUGGUCCGUCCUCUGGAUUGUGUACUGAUCGAUCUGUUCUUCUUCGCGAAGACCGCGUGUGCCCUUAACUGGGUGUGCACGGGAUUCACGACGUUUACUUUGAAAAAUUAGAGUGUUCAAAGCAGGCAUUCGCUUGAAUAUCUCAGCAUGGAAUAAUAGAAUAGGACUUUGGUCUUAUUUUGUUGGUUUCUAAGGCCGAGGUAAUGAUUAAUAGGGAUAGUUGGGGGCGUUUAUAUUCCGUUGUCAGAGGUGAAAUUCUUGGAUUUACGGAAGAUAAACUACUGCGAAAGCAUUCGCCAAGGAUGUUUUCAUUAAUCAAGAACGAAAGUUAGGGGAUCGAAGACGAUCAGAUACCAU
rnacentral:rRNA from 1 species